rfam:Oryza sativa (indica cultivar-group) chromosome 12, whole genome shotgun sequence.
AAUAAGUGCAGUUUUGCACUAUUUACGUUCAACGUUUGACCGUCCGUCUUAUUUGAAAAUUUUUUAUGAUUAGUAUUUUUAUUGCUAUUAGAUGAUUAAACAUGAAUAGUACUUGAUGUGUGACUAAAUGUUGUGAAUUGGUUCACAAAUUUUUCAAAUAAGACGGACGGUCAAACGUUGAACGUGAAUAGUGCAAAACUGCACUUUUU